CUCGUGAUCCGCCCACCUCAGGCUUUCAAAGUGUUGAGAUUACAGGCCUGAGCCACUGCACCCAGCCUCCCUAACACUCUUCUAGCUCUGGUGCCCUGCAGGGUCUCCCUUGGAGCACCUGGAGCCCAAGAAGCUGUCCCUCACCUUUGCAAUCCCAGGGACUCGCCCCCUGAUCAUGAUGAAGGUGGACCCAAACCCGCUGAGGGGCCUGAAGGAGCAAAGGUGCAUCGGAGGCCGAACCCCUCUCCUGAUCUCCUGCAGGAACUGAGUCCCGGAGGAGGUGCAGGUGGAGCCAUUGAGGCAGCACUGCAGCUGGACCUGGGUCUGAGUCCCAGCUCCUGGCUGUGAUAUGCAUCACUCUCUCCAUUUAUUUAUCUGAAAGACAGGGCUGUGCUGUUCUGGGGUCACUGUGAGAAUGCAACUGGCCUGUGUGAGUUGGUGGUGGCCUCCUGUGAUAGUUUGAGGUGGGCUGGAGGUGUGUCUUGAAUGCCCCCUCACCCCCAUGGGGAAGACCCACUUAGGGAAGACUCAAGUGUCUGUAUGGAGGAACCCACAUUCCCUGCCCCUCAGCUGUCCUCUGUCCCUUCCUAGCCCCCUCUGCUGUCCUGCAGGCUCUGGCGGUGGCCAUCCAGCUUGGUGGCCAUCUGGCUGAUCCACUCCUCCAGGUGGACCCUCUGUCCUCAUGUGGUGCAGGUCCCAUUGUGCCACCUCCAGACAGGCCAUGCUAGCCCCAGGGCCUCCGUUCCCUGUUACCCAGCCCCCACCCCCAGGUACGUGCCACCUCCCUAAAGCCCACUGUGUCCACCAGCUGUGUUUCAACUCUGUCUCUGAGCAAGGCCUAACGCAAAGCCUGAAACAGCCUGGCUUGUAGAGGGCCAGGAGACCAAAGCUUGAAGAGAGAGUGACGGUCUCCCAGAGCCCACUUAGCCUCAGCCCCAGGGCUGUGUCCAUGCUGUUCCUGGCUCCAGUGAGCCAAUUCUCUCCCCUGACGCCCGUAAGGGCUCCAGUGGUGAUGGAGGUAGCUGGAGAGAACAAGGCUGUCUUAACCCUCCCUCCCUGAGAAGGCCCAACGGGGAACGUUUUAGGCAUCAGGGCAUUCUGGGGGGCAUCUUCCAGGGACCCCUCCUAUACCCUGCCCUGCCCUGGCUCUCUAGUGAGAAAUUGCAGUUGCUUGGACAGUGGGGCUGACCCAGGACAAAUGCAUAUAUUGGGCUGGUCUUCAGGGUGCUGGGGUAGGGGCAGGGGCACUUCAGGGAUAGGAAGGAGGGGCCUGUGUG